rnacentral:tRNA from 3 species
GGAAAGGUGGUCGAGUUGGUUUAAGGCGCACGCUUGGAAAGCGUGUGUAGGUAACCCCUACCGCGGGUUCGAAUCCCGCCCUUUCCG